UAACAUUAAAAUCAACAAUUACUAGAAAAUUUCAUAGAAACAGAAAAAAAUCAAUUGAAAAACAAGUCUUUUGAGACGUAAUAGACAUGACUGUGAAUAUUGUUGCAUUAAUAAAACAAACAUAGUAAAGUAAUUAAUAGAUCACAUUUAAUUCAAGUACUUCGACUUGAAAAUAAAUUCUUAUAAUCUCUCCAUAUACUUCGUAAAACUUCUCGAUGUUUUGUUAUCUUGUUUAGGAAUGUCGGUCAAGGUCGCUGUCGUUAUCUAAUCGCCAAUACAGCUAUUUUCUGCAACAGAUAACAUUAAACACAGCUCUAUUUGUAACAUUUCCUGCAACAAAAGGUAACAGUUAGAUUCACUGGUAAUGUAAUCAAAUUGCAAAAAAAAGGCUGUACGUUUGUUUUGCAAAACACUCGUUUUAAAAUUUUAAUUAAUCUAUUGCCUCACAAAUAACAUUUCAUAGCUUAAGGAUGAGAGAUUUUUUAAAAUUAAAAUAAUACAAAAUAAAUAUUCUCUUAAAAUAUUUGCAACAUCUUUUACAUCAACCCAAUGAUGUCCGCUUGCCACCAAAAAUCAGAGAAGAGUGACAUUGUUUUUUCCCCUGUUCAAAAAUUUUCCCCUCCUAAGGAAUCCUGCUCUCACCGAAAGGAGUGAAUCGCUUAGACAGGAUCCGAUUCGUAGCAGGUUCGUGUAUGGAAGCAAAAAAGCGGAAAGCCGAUCGAACAUUUUUUUUUGUUUCCUUUUCGUCUAUUCCGUCUGGCCGGACGGUCCGGUUUUGUACAUAAUGCACGUUUUUGAAAUGCUUGAACGUCGUCGUCCUGGCACCUUUUUUAGCAGUACGACAAAACGCACCGCAAAGGAAAGGAUACACACAGGGUGAGCGACUUAUUUAUCGGCUUGAUUUAUGGCUUUCCGGUAGCGCGUUUCUCGCCUGCUUUUGAUUUCUCUCUUUCUCUCGGUCCAUCUGUCUCUCUCUCUCCCUCUCUGUGGCUCUUGCUCGCUCUAGCAAUAGCACUAUUCUUUUUCUGCACGCGGGUUCGUUCGCCAAAAAUUAUUCGCUAACCCGCUAACGCACGCAGUCGCGCCACGUGUUGUUCGCCCGAGUUGGCCGAGCCUACUAUUGCCGCUUCUCUACCAACGGACGACAAUGGCGAUAUCUUUCACAAUCGCAUUCCAUCGGUGAAACGGUAAAGUCGCACGGUCGCAACGGUUCGCAACGGCACCUUCAGAUGGGUAACGGAUUUUGCCACAGUUGGCACCCAGUUUUCCCAGUUGGAUGGCCGUGUUUUAAGUUGUGUCGGAUUAAAGGAACAAGAAUUUUCCUUUCCACAGUGUACGGUGUGUUUUCGGUGUGAUCACAAUUUUCCAAUGUGAUCUUGUUUCUAUUGAAAAGAGAAAAAAAACUGAUUGCUAACAUUUUUCUCAAAAUGUGGCUAUGUGUUCUUGUGUUGUGUCAUCUCUCCGUCAUCAGAAUCUAAUUUCCAGUGGAAUUAAAAAGAAUUCUCAUCGGAAGCGGAACGGGAAACGAGCGUCCGCGAUGAACCUUCGUCUUCGUGUCUGGUUUUUUUUUUGUUAAUGCGGUUUGCAAAGAAAAGGAAACCAAUCGAACAAUAUGAAGAAAUUCGCGCAAAUAACGAACUGGAGCGCAAAAUGAACUACCCCCAUUUUUGGGGAGAGUGUCUGCUUCAUCCCCGAAAAUGUGCUGGUGCUCCCCUACGCAAUACUUGCGGAUCUUUGCGUGUGUUUCAUACUGCUACCGCUCCAUAAAAAACCUCCCCAAAUCGUUGAAGGGGAAUUAGUGAAUUCAUGAGUGCGUGUGGACCCGCUCUUCAUGUGUGUGUGUUGAGAGAGAGAGGGAGAGCAAUCAAGCGAGCGAGCGAAAUUCGUGCGAGUGCGUUUUUAUUGAAGCAAAUCUAACAAAAUACAACCAACAUGAGAGAGGGAGAGAGCUUGAAACUUUGCUGCUGGGAGAAAGAGAUGCGGCAACUACCCCCCUUUGGAACAAAAAACCCGGAAGUAAACGCCAAAAAGUGGUGCGGAGAAGAAAAGCCUUCCAUUCCCGCACAUACGCAUGAUGCGACGUUGAAAUCCAGCAGGAAGGAAAGAUCGCGAGAGCGAAAUUGAGCGAGAGCGACAAAAAGCGAGAGAGAGAGAGAGCGCGCGCGCGAAAAUUCCGAGAGUGUGAAACAUAAGCGUGAGAACACAAACGCGCGUUUUGGGGGAUGCAGAGUUCGGUCAAUUCGGAUGCCGUUUUAUUUAAGUUUGAAUUUAAGCAGCGUUCGGAUCGGUACAGCCUCCCGUGGUUUGGCAUCGUCCUGUAUACGGAUUUUCCGUCACUUUUUCCGUGGUAAAGUCACUCCCAGGCACAUUCCAUUGCGUUCCCUUUACCUCCCUUUAGCAGUGGUGUUUGGCGCUCCAUAACCAGUCAUCCUCGCGAAUCCUUAGCCGAUGUUGGGUGCAUUGUCCUUACCGAAGCUACCGAGCAGCAGCCGUUUGAAGUGUGAUGUGAUGCUUUAUGAAAGUUUUUGUUUUUUUUCCUUGUGCGAACUAAAAUCUGUGUGCGAAGAUUCAAAGUGAUUUUGCGAAACGGUUCUUUUUGAAACUCUGCAGUGCAAAAAUGGUGCUUUUUGUUGUGUGCAUUUUGGGUUACAAUUUUUUCAAGUUUUUCUGUUAAUGAUUUUGUGUCGGCUUGUGUUAGUUUUUAUUGUUUGCUGAUCAUUUAUGGGAAAAUAUAAUUGUGUGAAUUUGUGGAAUGACACUUCAACACGUCAACUUUGAGGCUUUCUUUUUUGUUCUGCGCGCUCAACGAAGCAUGUGCCAGUAAAUUAUACUGCAACGAUCGUUUUUGUUGAUUUUUUUUGGAGCAGAACAACGAACCGGAAACAAGGUGAAGAAAGCCGACAUCCGAUCCACCCAACAUGGUUGCGAAUAUAACAAUUCCACACAGGAGUCUUCUACUGUGGUCGGUGACGGACUUCACCCGUCCGGAACAAAAGUCAGCUGUAAUUUCGGGAAACCAACGUGUGACCGCAUCAUGACACAGGAACCGUACACAAUGCAUUCACCUUUGUGUUCAUAUUGUUCGUGGUGAAGUUCCGGACGCUAGCAAUCAGUUUCAUGGGAUAAACGGAAUACGAUAAUUCAGUCACGGCAAACCCUUACCAUCGUACAACCGGAACAAUAUAAGUGACCCACUGUAUUACCGCGCACUGGCGCUGGAUGUGAGCUUGGUGAGGAUAAUCUCAAACACUUUCCGCAGGUAAGCACGUAAGGGUGUAGCAAGAAUUUCACCAAAAAACCGGUGUCGGUGUGGCGGGAAAAUCCUUUCAGCUUUCGCGGGGAGCAAAAAGGCAAAAGUUGCUCACGGUGCAUUAUUAUCGUUUCGCUCGCUUGUUUAAACUUUCAUCGAUAACAGCGGUGAAAAUGUGAACCAACGGGCUUGGUGAAACGGAAGAAGACGCUUUAAGAAACUGCUUUCUCUUGCUUACCGUGGCAUACAUUAUUGGAACACUUGUGCGUUUUGUACAGGAGAGCGUCAAGCGCGAAUAAGGAGAAAACUCUUCCUUAGAGUGGGCGAAGUAUACCGCAAAGUUCAUACGGAAAGAUAAACUAUUAUCUCGUAGAUGUUACGAUAAGAAAACGGCAGCACAUCAAGACGCAAAGUUAAGCAACGUAGCUUGGGAAGCCAUUCUAAGGAUAAAGCCUGCCAGGCCAAUCAGAUACGAAACGAGAAAUUCCACCAGUACAUAGUAUUCUAUCUACGGAUUGGAAAUUAAAAACACACUCAACGAAAUGAACAACCGCACGCCGUCGAAAUCGUGCAAGGAAUUUCUUAAAAGCGGGUCGCCCCCAAAAAAGCCUUACGGACAAUUGGCACAACCAGACGACGAUGACGAUAAAUUCAUCUUGGCAAAGUUUUAAACACUUUUUGAGUUUAAAUUAAGUUAAAAGAGCACAACUCUUUUUGUUUUCGUCUGUUUUCUCUUUUCGCUUCUGCUAAAUGGUGGUUUCUUUCAAAUCUUUUUUCCCCUUGUGGUGAGCUACUAUUGCUCAGUAUCGUCGAGCUGUUCGUGGAAAGUGAGGAGGUUAACAAGUUGAAAUUAAAGGAACGCAUAACGUGAAUAGUCGUACUGUGGAGGGGAGAAAAAAAAUCUUUUCGAAACACACCGACACACAUACCAAUCGAAAACUUAUCCCGGGCAGUUGCAUAUCGUUGCCAGGUCCCGUGUGCUCCAGACCGCAGGGUAUGCGACAAGGGGAAGCAAAAAAAACCUCACAUAUACCGCAUAAUUGAAGGUUUCAUUCGUUCGUUCGUUGC